rnacentral:lncRNA from 1 species
AGAUCAGCCCUGGGGUUCAGAGGGAUCCUGACAGCUACUCCUCAAGAUCCUCUCUGUUGUGAUUCAUCCCCCCGGGGCCCUACAGUUUCUCCUUCCUGACUCUUACAUUUCUUUGGAUGGCAUCAUUAUUCAAUUCUCCUGCCUCACCCUCCCAAGUAGCUGGGAUUACAGUACCUGUCUCCUCCCAUAGUUAGGUGCCAAGCACUGUGGAUUCUGCCUCUCAGUGUCCAGACACCCAUUUUCCUUCCCACUGUUCCUUCCCCAUGGAGAAGCCUGUGGCUGGCUGACAGCAGAGAGAGAUGCUCAACUUGGAGAAGGUGUUACCUGGGCCAGGUGGGGAAGGUUUGUUUGCAGAGCAAAGAAGUGAAGCCUAUUCAACGUGAAAAAGAUGAGGAUGAAGACCUUUAUUAUGAUCCACUUCCAAGUAAUGAACACACUGGAGAAAGUCAGACAGUCAAAACAAUGUCCCAGACUCCGUGAAGUUCCUGGGUAGAGAAGGAGACAGACAUAUACCAUACCUAAUAAUUGGAUGUCCGAGAGAAUGAGAGAAUGGCAGAAAGAACUUUAGAGCAUGGGUAUGAUGGCUAGAGCUUGAGCAGCCAUUGUGGACAUCAGAUGAACUUGAAAGUGAAAACUAUGAGCUGAAUACGACAAAGCAAACAGAUAGAAAACUGGAUUCAUUAUGACAUUGCAAAGCUGCCAGACCAGCUCUAGUCUG